AUUGAACGCUGGCGGCAGGCCUAACACAUGCAAGUCGAGCGAGCGGCGGACGGGUGAGUAAUGUAUGGGGACUGCCCGAUAGAGGGGGAUAACUACUGGAACCGGUGGCUAAUACCGCAUACUAUCGGAUAACCCAUAUGGGCUUAGCUAGUAGGUGGGGUAAAGGCGCACCUAGGCGACGAUCCCUAGCUGGUCUGAGAGGAUGAUCAGCCACACUGGGACUGAGACACGGUCCAGACGCCUACGGAGGCAGCAGUGGGGAAUAUUGCACAAUGGGCGCAAGCCGGAUGCAGCCAUGCCGCGUGAGUGAAGAAGGUUUUCGGAUUGUAAAGCACUGUUGGUGGAGAGGCGGUACCUAACCAGAAAGCCACGGCUAACUCCGUGCCAGCAGCCGCGGUAAUAC
rnacentral:rRNA from 1 species